rnacentral:lncRNA from 1 species
AGCAAAUUUGGGAGCCAGCACAUGUAGCCUCAGCUCCUAGGUGAUCCCUGAGUCUUUUCCUGCAGCCCUGCCUUUGGAACUUCUUUCCUCGGCUUGCGAGUAGUCCUGGAGUAUGGGAGAGACUUUGAUCCCAGGAAGAAAUUUUUUCUACAAGAGCAUUACACAGAACCAGGAUGAAUCUUAGCCAAAAUUUGACUUGGAUGUUGAGACCGAUGAUGCCACACACACACUAAGAAGACUCACUCAAGAUAGAUGCCGACUAGAAUUGGAGCCUUGGACUUGGAGAUAGAUCAAGGAUCUGACGACUCUCUCUGCCCUCUUUGGAUCAAUGCAGUCUCUUUGUCAUGAUUGCACAUGGAUAAUUUGGUGUAUACUGAAUUCUUUGCCAUGAAUUCCCACAGGAGCAGGAAACACAGAACGACGUCCCAGAUUCGCAACAUGUUGAAAUCGCUGACUCCUUCUGAUGCCCCUGAUGUGUUCUGACAUUCACAAGCGCUCCCCACAGGACCCCAUCUGCACCAACGUGUGUGUUCUCUCAAGCUCCAACAUGGAUACAUCAUCCCACUUUACCUUUUAUUAUUCCUUUGUUGUAAUAUGUAUUCAAAUACAGUUACUGAACAGGAUCUUAUGGAGUAAAUACGGCGGUAUUGAUAGUCUCCAUUAUCUCAAUUUACAGAAGAGAGAAAAAUCACUUCCAGAAUCUGAGUAAGCCUAAGCUGCCCUUUAUUUUUUUCCUUUGCCUUUAGCUUUGAAGGCUUGGAAAGUCCUAUUAUCCUAAAAGUUAAAUUGGCUUGUCUAAUGCAUACAGAUGGCAAAGCCUUGUGUUAGGUACAGCUGUCAUUUUCAUCUUCAAAAGAAAGGAGGGAAAGUAUCAUCAGCUCACCUGCAGCAUCUAACUUAGAAAGGUGAGCAUUGUGCAGACAGUAAGAAGGUCUAGCUGAUGCAGUCGCAUCUGCAUAAAAUAACAAUUUUUUUUGGAAGAAAGGGUUCUCAGUGCCAUCAUCCCCUGACUUAUUCCAAAUACACUUUCAACUUUAGGAAAAUAAAAACAUAUUUGUAUCUCUGCUAAAGAUAUCAUUACUUGAAAGCUUUCAUGUUGGAGUAAGGCGUGAUGUUUGUAGAAUCACCUGGUUUGAUUCUCAUCCCAACUUUUUACAUGAAAUAUACUGAGUUUGCAUCCUCCGGGCCAAGAUAGAAUCAACCUGUCUCCUGAGUGCCCACCCAUUUCUCUUAGAACAUAUCCAACCUUCCAUUCUACCUCACGUUUAUCUCUUUCUACCAAACUGUAAGCUUCUUACCUUGCCUUCUUAUAGAUUGUGAAAUGUUUAUUGAAUAAAUUCUUGGACUUUUAUAAAGAGAUAAAGCAUUUCAGCAACAUCUUCAAAAAAUGCAUAUGCCGACCUAUUUGAUUUAGUAUGUAUGCAGUGAGGCCAGGUGUGGUGGCUCCUGUCUGUAAUCCCAGCGCUUUGGGAGGCAGAAGUGGGAGGAUCACUUGAGGCCAGGAGUUCAAGAUCAGCCUGGGCAACAUAGGAAGACCCUGUCUCUACAAAAUAAUAAUAAUAAUAAUAAUAAAUAAAUAAUAAAAACUAGCUAGGCAUGGUGGUAUGUGCCUGUGAUCUUAGCUACCCAGGCUGAGGAGGGAGGGAUUCCUUCAGCCUGGGAAUUUGAGAUUUUCAUUCUGUGAGCUAUGACUGUGCCACUGCACUCCAGUCUGGGUGACAGAGUAAGACUCUGUCUUGGGAAAAAUAAAACAAAACAUAUAUAUGUAUAUAUAUAUAUGCAGUGAAGCUAUCCACAUGAGCCUGACUUCUUAUUGUAAAGAUCUAAUAGAUUCAUAGCUUCAGAUAUAAUCCAAGGUUGUGCAUUUUUCAUUAGAUCAUGCAAAUGAGGUGAACAGAGAAAUGAUUACACUUCAGCUUACGGAGGGAAGAGAUGCUCACUUAGCAAGUACCUCCACCAGCAGAUUGCUGAACAUUCUCUGAGUUUAUUUUACAGUGUGCGUAGGCCCACUUUGCUGGAGAAAGGCAACUGAGAAGAGCUUUGCCAGAAAUCUGGAAUAAGGCUUGCAUUGUUGCCAUAGAGGGGACUUUCUUUUUGAGCAUCGUGUAGAUCUGUUUUGGCUAUUUUUCAAGCCUACAUUUAUGCCUGGGUCAGUAACAGGAAAGAAAUCUGUUAUUAAUUACUACAAUUUGAAAAGAAGUUAAAAUUGAUCUCUCACAAUCUGACUUGGCAGGAGAAAGACAUUUACCACUCAAAAUUUUGGAACUUGCCUUAGCACCAACAUUAUCUGCUGACCGUAGUGGGAAGUCUUUUUUGUAGAAAAACAUUCAGUUCUAUACAAUUACUAUGUGACAGAAAAGAUAGUGUAAAAAGAUUUUUUAAAAAUCUGUAAACAGAAUCCUGUUUUACUGUGUUUAAUAAAUGGUCCUCUGUAAAAGAGUCAAGUCCUACGGUAUAGUAACAUUUCACUUGCCUGUAAACUUGGAUUGCCAAAUAUCAAUUUUACCUUGAAGUGACAUGCUCCUGUAUAAGAAGAUAAAUAGCUGUUUGGUUACAGACAGCAGAAUUAAGUAAUUUCAGCAAAUGAAUUACCAUAUUGACCUUGUGUAGACCUGGCAUGACAGCUUGCCAAGAUGGGCCAUUGCCAAGUUCCUGUCUCAUUUUUGUGAUGUAAACCCCACCUUUUCUUCUGAUUUAUGGUCGA